GGGUUGUGAGGUUAAGCGACUAAGCGUACACGGUGGAUGCCCUGGCAGUCAGAGGCGAUGAAGGACGUGCUAAUCUGCGAUAAGCGUCGGUAAGGUGAUAUGAACCGUUAUAACCGGCGAUUUCCGAAUGGGGAAACCCAGUGUGUUUCGACACACUAUCAUUAACUGAAUCCAUAGGUUAAUGAGGCGAACCGGGGGAACUGAAACAUCUAAGUACCCCGAGGAAAAGAAAUCAACCGAGAUUCCCCCAGUAGCGGCGAGCGAACGGGGAGCAGCCCAGAGCCUGAAUCAGUGUGUGUGUUAGUGGAAGCGUCUGGAAAGGCGUGCGAUACAGGGUGACAGCCCCGUACACAAAAAUGCACAUAUUGUGAGCUCGAUGAGUAGGGCGGGACACGUGGUAUCCUGUCUGAAUAUGGGGGGACCAUCCUCCAAGGCUAAAUACUCCUGACUGACCGAUAGUGAACCAGUACCGUGAGGGAAAGGCGAAAAGAACCCCGGCGAGGGGAGUGAAAAAGAACCUGAAACCGUGUACGUACAAGCAGUGGGAGCACGCUUAGGCGUGUGACUGCGUACCUUUUGUAUAAUGGGUCAGCGACUUAUAUUCUGUAGCAAGGUUAACCGAAUAGGGGAGCCGAAGGGAAACCGAGUCUUAACUGGGCGUUAAGUUGCAGGGUAUAGACCCGAAACCCGGUGAUCUAGCCAUGGGCAGGUUGAAGGUUGGGUAACACUAACUGGAGGACCGAACCGACUAAUGUUGAAAAAUUAGCGGAUGACUUGUGGCUGGGGGUGAAAGGCCAAUCAAACCGGGAGAUAGCUGGUUCUCCCCGAAAGCUAUUUAGGUAGCGCCUCGUGAAUUCAUCUCCGGGGGUAGAGCACUGUUUCGGCAAGGGGGUCAUCCCGACUUACCAACCCGAUGCAAACUGCGAAUACCGGAGAAUGUUAUCACGGGAGACACACGGCGGGUGCUAACGUCCGUCGUGAAGAGGGAAACAACCCAGACCGCCAGCUAAGGUCCCAAAGUCAUGGUUAAGUGGGAAACGAUGUGGGAAGGCCCAGACAGCCAGGAUGUUGGCUUAGAAGCAGCCAUCAUUUAAAGAAAGCGUAAUAGCUCACUGGUCGAGUCGGCCUGCGCGGAAGAUGUAACGGGGCUAAACCAUGCACCGAAGCUGCGGCAGCGACGCUGAUGCGUUGUUGGGUAGGGGAGCGUUCUGUAAGCCUGCGAAGGUGUGCUGUGAGGCAUGCUGGAGGUAUCAGAAGUGCGAAUGCUGACAUAAGUAACGAUAAAGCGGGUGAAAAGCCCGCUCGCCGGAAGACCAAGGGUUCCUGUCCAACGUUAAUCGGGGCAGGGUGAGUCGACCCCUAAGGCGAGGCCGAAAGGCGUAGUCGAUGGGAAACAGGUUAAUAUUCCUGUACUUGGUGUUACUGCGAAGGGGGGACGGAGAAGGCUAUGUUGGCCGGGCGACGGUUGUCCCGGUUUAAGCGUGUAGGCUGGUUUUCCAGGCAAAUCCGGAAAAUCAAGGCUGAGGCGUGAUGACGAGGCACUACGGUGCUGAAGCAACAAAUGCCCUGCUUCCAGGAAAAGCCUCUAAGCAUCAGGUAACAUCAAAUCGUACCCCAAACCGACACAGGUGGUCAGGUAGAGAAUACCAAGGCGCUUGAGAGAACUCGGGUGAAGGAACUAGGCAAAAUGGUGCCGUAACUUCGGGAGAAGGCACGCUGAUAUGUAGGUGAAGUCCCUCGCGGAUGGAGCUGAAAUCAGUCGAAGAUACCAGCUGGCUGCAACUGUUUAUUAAAAACACAGCACUGUGCAAACACGAAAGUGGACGUAUACGGUGUGACGCCUGCCCGGUGCCGGAAGGUUAAUUGAUGGGGUUAGCGCAAGCGAAGCUCUUGAUCGAAGCCCCGGUAAACGGCGGCCGUAACUAUAACGGUCCUAAGGUAGCGAAAUUCCUUGUCGGGUAAGUUCCGACCUGCACGAAUGGCGUAAUGAUGGCCAGGCUGUCUCCACCCGAGACUCAGUGAAAUUGAACUCGCUGUGAAGAUGCAGUGUACCCGCGGCAAGACGGAAAGACCCCGUGAACCUUUACUAUAGCUUGACACUGAACAUUGAGCCUUGAUGUGUAGGAUAGGUGGGAGGCUUUGAAGUGUGGACGCCAGUCUGCAUGGAGCCGACCUUGAAAUACCACCCUUUAAUGUUUGAUGUUCUAACGUUGACCCGUGAUCCGGGUUGCGGACAGUGUCUGGUGGGUAGUUUGACUGGGGCGGUCUCCUCCUAAAGAGUAACGGAGGAGCACGAAGGUUGGCUAAUCCUGGUCGGACAUCAGGAGGUUAGUGCAAUGGCAUAAGCCAGCUUGACUGCGAGCGUGACGGCGCGAGCAGGUGCGAAAGCAGGUCAUAGUGAUCCGGUGGUUCUGAAUGGAAGGGCCAUCGCUCAACGGAUAAAAGGUACUCCGGGGAUAACAGGCUGAUACCGCCCAAGAGUUCAUAUCGACGGCGGUGUUUGGCACCUCGAUGUCGGCUCAUCACAUCCUGGGGCUGAAGUAGGUCCCAAGGGUAUGGCUGUUCGCCAUUUAAAGUGGUACGCGAGCUGGGUUUAGAACGUCGUGAGACAGUUCGGUCCCUAUCUGCCGUGGGCGCUGGAGAACUGAGGGGGGCUGCUCCUAGUACGAGAGGACCGGAGUGGACGCAUCACUGGUGUUCGGGUUGUCAUGCCAAUGGCACUGCCCGGUAGCUAAAUGCGGAAGAGAUAAGUGCUGAAAGCAUCUAAGCACGAAACUUGCCCCGAGAUGAGUUCUCCCUGACUCCUUGAGAGUCCUGAAGGAACGUUGAAGACGACGACGUUGAUAGGCCGGGUGUGUAAGCGCAGCGAUGCGUUGAGCUAACCGGUACUAAUGAACCGUGAGGCUUAACCUUACAACGCCGAAGCUGUU
rnacentral:rRNA from 1 species